rnacentral:rRNA from 1 species
GAUGAACGCUGGCGGCGUGCCUAAUACAUGCAAGUCGAGCGAAGCGGGGACGGGUGAGUAACACGUGGAUAACCUCCUAUAAGACUGGGAUAACUUCGGGAAACCGGAGCUCAACCGGAUUCUUAUCGCUGGAUCCGAGCUGCCUUAGCUAGUUGUUAAGGUAACGGCUUACCAAGGCCACGAUGCAUAGCCGACCGGGGAGGUGGAUCGGCCACACUGGACUGGGGGCACGGUCCGGACGCAGACGGGAGGCAGCAGUAGGGAAUCAUCCGCAAUUGGCGAAAGCCUGACGGAGCAACGCCGCGUUAGCGAUGAAGGUCUUCGGAUCGUAAAACUCUGUUAUAAGGGAAACGGUUCCUACUCAUAAAGCCACGGCUAACUACGUGCCAGCCGCCGCGGUAAUUC